ACGGACCACAUCGUUGGUUUCAAUAUAUGGUCGCAUGAAGACAAUUAUGCGCGGUACAAAAUGGAACCGGGAGAAGGGAUCCUGCCACCACAAUCCACACAAACAAUCAUGGUAAGAAGGAUCCUAAACGCAAACCGAACGGAAGACUUGCAGUGCAAAGACAAGAUUUUUGUGUGGAAUGGAAUUGUGACCGAAGCUGUCGAAGUUAGCGAUAUUGAAGGAUACUGGAAGGACCACAAUGAUAAAGAGUUGCCCGUUGUUCUUACAAUGCCUGGAGAAAGCAGUUAAAGGUAGCAUCAGCAUGGUCGAAUCUCUUGGACGUAAAGGCUUGAGAGAAGAACAGAAAUCCCAGAUAUGGACAUGGCAAA